GACCUAAUAUCAAAUGGACAGGCCCUUAGAGAGAAAUUCUGGCAUGCCGCAUAUGAAAGAGAGAGAUGGAGCUAGAUGAGUCAAUGUCAAAAUCAUAUGAUCAAAACAUUGAACUCACAUUCAGAAAAUCGCUAAUUUUUCUCUCAUUCUGAAUUGAACACAUAGUUAAUCUGAUUGAUUCGAUUUGUAAAAGUGUUGAACAUUCUAAUAAAAGGAAUUAGAGAAUCCAUCUGCUAUUGCGAAAUUCAAAGCACCAAAAGAACUAAUUUUCAAAUAAAAUGCCUCACACUCGUGCAGCCUUCAAUUGUACAGCGAGAAUAGAAAAAAGCCAAAAGUUGAAAUUUCAUUCUUCACAGUUUUCCAAAGGAUGACAAAUUAAGGGAACAGUGAAUGAAAGCUGAAGAAGAAUUGAUUUCAACCCUUUUUCCUUGUUGAAAAUAUGCAGCAACCGUUUUCAUCAACAUGAAUUAUUAAUAUUCAUGGUACAAAAACUCUGAAAAAAGAUGUUAUUCCUUCAGUUUUCAGUUUCUCCAAUUAUAUGCCUGAGAGAUUAAAUUAUGGAGAUAAAUGUCUUGAAGAUAAUAUUGAAGGUACAUUAAUAUUUUAUUUUUUAUGGAUGUGAAAUAUCUAUUUAUUUUCCGUCCCUUAUUUUAUUCAUUCAUAUAAAUAAUUAUUGCAAAAGAAAUUGAACAGGACCAGCCAGAGACAAAACAGCAAGAGAUGGGGCAACCAGAUACGGUACAACUGUUUAUAAUAUCAAAAUCCUCUGCUGCUGCCAUGGAAGAUUUUCCCCCCAGAUUGAAUACUAAUAUUAGAAAUACUAGAAAUUAGAAACCUGGGAAUGAGGAUUUCCAAGAAUGGAACACUAGACGAAGUAAUAUCUGAGAGAAACAUCCAAAGAAAUCCAAUAAUCUCAAUGUUAAAUAGGAUAUUAUCGAUUAAAGACAUAAAUUUGAAUAAUAAGAAAAAAUUUACUAAAUAGUUAGGAGCAUAAUAACAUACAGCUCUGAAGUGGACAGCAGCUACAAAAUCUGAAAGGGACAUGAUACCAAAUGAUACAAUAAGACAUAGAAUGGAAAUAAGACAUGAUAUUAUUGAUCUUAAGAACACAACAGUUGGUUUGGUACAGACAAGUCCAUAAAUACUUAUGGUACUAGGUGUGAUUUAAACAAUAAUAAUUUUGAAAUUUUCAGUUUUUUAGAUUGCCAUACUAAAUGAGGAACAUAUUCUGUGCCGUGGCUUAAAAAUUCAUCUUUAGAGAAGCCCAUUCACUGAAAGGCUGAAAAUGGGUAUCUUGAAUUGUUAUUUAGUUGAAAAUUACUUUUAACGUAUGAGAACAACAACUUAUAACGUUAUGAUAUGUAUUUUUCAGGAAAAAUGAAUGUAUCAUAACUGAUCCUUGGAGAGAUAAGGAGAAGAAGAUCCAUAAAUUUCAAGAUUUGGAGGAGUUUAGAACUAAGAAGAGGUAGAGCUCAAUCCUGAUAUUUUUCAAUAACCUGGAUAUUAAAUGAUUGGAAGAGUGAAUAUCCUCCUUAGUGGAGAGUGAGAAAUCCGACUGCGAAUAUGUUCUUCCUCAUGCGCUGAUAGGCUAGAGUUGGACCAUUUUUUGAAUCAUUUAUUGUAAUAAUGCAUUUUGAACAGCAAUAAAAACUUAAUGAAUACAAUUCUUCAUAAACUCUCUUUUUUUAAUUGCCUAUGUUAUCUGGAAACAAUUUUUUGAAAGAUUUUACUAUUAUCAAAUUGAUAAGUGACUUGAACUAAACUAGUUGGAAGUAAUACAAAAUUGAAGAAUGAAAUGUAAUAGACAUAACUGAUUGUAUUUAAACGAUAAAAUUGUU